AUCAAGCUGACGAGUCCCAAAUAGGACGAAACGCGCUCUUUGGAU
rnacentral:hammerhead_ribozyme from 1 species